AUACGGAGGGUGCGAGCGUUGUUCGGAAUUAUUGGGCGUAAAGCGCGUGUAGGCGGUUUGUUAAGUCUGAUGUGAAAGCCCCGGGCUCAACCUGGGAAGUGCAUUGGAUACUGGCAGACUUGAAUACGGGAGAGGGCAGUGGAAUUCCUGGUGUAGGAGUGAAAUCCGUAGAUAUCGGGAAGAACACCGGUGGCGAAGGCGGCCUUCUGGUCUAGAACUGACGCUGACAUGCGAAAGUGUGGGGAUC
rnacentral:rRNA from 1 species